UACGGAGGGUGCAAACGUUGCUCGGAAUCAUUGGGCGUAAAGCGUGUGUAGGCGGCAUGUUAAGUCGGGUGUGAAAGCCCCGGGCUCAACCCGGGAAGUGCAUUCGAUACUGGCAUGCUUGAGUACGGGAGAGGGUCGCGGAAUUCCCGGUGUAGCGGUGAAAUGCGCAGAUAUCGGGAAGAACACCCGUGGCGAAGGCGGUUCUCUGGGACGGUACUGACGCUGAGACGCGAAAGCGUGGGGAGCGAACAGG
rnacentral:rRNA from 1 species